rnacentral:rRNA from 2 species
UUAAAUUGAAGAGUUUGAUCAUGGCUCAGAUUGAACGCUGGCGGCAGGCCUAACACAUGCAAGUCGAGCGGAAACGAGUUAUCUGAACCUU